rnacentral:rRNA from 1 species
UUGGACAACCAUGGCAUUCACGGGCUAUCGGGGGAUUAGGGGUGGAUUCUGGAGAGGGAGCGUGAGAAACGGCUACCAGUAUACGGAAGGCAGCAGGCGCGAAAAUUAUCCAAUCCUGAUUCAGGGAGGUAGUGAAAGAAAUAAUGAAUUAGGAUUUCUCUCGGGGUCCCAAUGGGCAUGAUCAGCAAACUUCAUUCAGCGAGGAACAAUUGGAGGGCAAGUCUGGUGCCAGCAGCCGCGGUAAUUCCAGCUCCAAUAGGGUAUAUUAAUGUUCCUGCAGUUAUUCGAUGCUCGUAGCGGAUUUAGGGGGGAUGAGAUUGGAAGGUGGCCAAGGUCUCCGCCGAACUCUUCCUUCAUCCACCUGUUAACGUUGUCCGGGAUUUGUUUCUCGGCUUCAGAUCUCAGGUAUUUUACCCUUUCUAUAUAUUCAUUUAUUUAUCUUCUUUUUGAGUAAAUUAUAGUGUUUCAGGCAGGCGUGCGCCGGAAUACUUUAGCAUGGAAUAAUCGAAUUGGACCGUGUAUUCUUAUAGAAUUCUUCCUUAUUUGUUGGUUUCAAGGACACGGAAAUGGUUAAUAGGGAUAGAGUUUUCAGGGGAGGC